rfam:Felis catus breed Abyssinian Contig300043.1, whole genome shotgun sequence. [26-MAY-2016]
ACCUGAGUGGCUCAGUCGGUUGAGCGUCCGACUUUGGCUCAGGUCAUGAUCUUGCAGUUUGUGAGUUCAAGCCCCACAUCAGGCU